rnacentral:rRNA from 1 species
UACGGGGGGGGCAAGCGUUGUUCGGAAUUACUGGGCGUAAAGGGCUCGUAGGCGGCCAACUAAGUCGGAUGUGAAAUCCCCAGGCUCAACCUGGGAACUGCAUCCGAUACUGGAUGGCUUGAAUCCGGGAGAGGGAUGCGGAAUUCCAGGUGUAGCGGUGAAAUGCGUAGAUAUCUGGAGGAACACCGGUGGCGAAGGCGGCAUCCUGGACCGGCAUUGACGCUGAGGAGCGAAAGCCAGGGGAGCAAAUGGG